CAGCAGGAUGGGGGUAAUCCGGGGUGCUGUUGAGAGAAUGAGGAGUCCGAGAAGAAGGCUGAUUCCUGUUUCCGCAUGAUGGGACAAGCUCGAUCAGAGCAGACAUGACUCAACACAAACGACACACAGUGCUGCAAGUUUUCAACUUUUAUUUUCCUAUAAGACGAUCGGAAAUAUUAAUAAAACACCUCAAUUUCUUAUCUCAAGUCAGUUAUAAACAAAUCUUUUGACAAAGAAGUAAUACAAAAAACCAAAAGGUAAAAACAUCAUUUAACAUUUCAAUAGCAAAAAAAACAACAUUUCCAUAGCUCUUUAGGAAAUAAAAAU